rnacentral:lncRNA from 1 species
UUUAAAAAAAAAAAAAGAAAGAAAGAAAAGAAAAAGAAAAGACAAGAAAAGAAAAGAAAAGGAUAUAAUCAGCCAAAUUCAAAAUGUGUGAAAUGCUACAAGCUUCCAGGACUGUGAAACAAGACAUUUCUUUGGUUCAAGCCACUCCCUUAGUGCACAUUGUUAUGGCAGCCAUGGAAAACCAUCCACAGAGGGUCAGUUCCUAUGGAGGUGGGCAUUCUGUUCCAUCCCUGUCACUUCGAUGUCUCUCUUUCUUGAAUAUGGAAGCAGCCCUGGGCCCAGCUGCUGCAGGUGGCCAGGAAGGAGCCUGGGAGGAUGACGGGGUUCCUGAUCUGAUAGAACUGGGCUGUGACUAGGCAGAACCCUGUUCCACCACACACACCCCAGUGGAGGACGUUCUGUAUCUGUGAUGAAUGACCCCUGCAUACAUUAUAUCUUUCAGUAAAAACAGUGGUGUUUCAGUAGUGUUACUAGCUAAGCUGCUUAACUCUCACAUUACAGACGUCAGUGAAGCCCCUUGGUAGGUAGUGUCUAAAAUUAGAUUUAUCUGCUUAUUUACACAAUUAUACUCUCAUGAGUUUGAAUGUUGGGGAAAGAUCAAGAAAAAGACCAGAUCACUAGAUGGCAAUAGCACACAAGAGCUUUAUUUGGAUGAAGCUUGGACAGAAUGCAUGGAAGGGGAAAGUCCCUUGCAGCAGAAGACCUUCCAGAGGCAGUGGCAGGGCCACCACCAGAAGAAAAGGGCAAGGACACUCCCAGGGGAGAGGAGGAUCAGAGAGGAGGUUACAGGUCUAAGAGAUGUCACAGGUCUAGAAGAAAAGAAAAGGAGCCAGGUGCAGUGGCUCACACCUGUAAUCCCAGCACUUUGGGAGGCCCAGGCGGGCAG